rnacentral:rRNA from 1 species
AUUGAACGCUGGCGGCAUGCUUUACACAUGCAAGUCGGACGGCAGCACAGAGAAGCUUGCUUCUUGGGUGGCGAGUGGCGAACGGGUGAGUAACAUAUCGGAACGUACCGAGCAGUGGGGGAUAACUAAUCGAAAGAUUAGCUAAUACCGCAUAUAUUCUGAGGAAGAAAGCAGGAGACCAUUUGGCCUUGCGCUGUUUGAGCGGCCGAUAUCUGAUUAGCUAGUUGGUGGGGUAAAGGCCUACCAAGGCGACGAUCAGUAGCGGGUUGAGAGGAUGAUCCGCCACACUGGGACUGAGACACGGCCCAGACUCCUACGGGAGGCAGCAGUGGGGAAUUUUGGACAAUGGGCGCAAGCCUGAUCCAGCCAUGCCGCGUGUCUGAAGAAGGCCUUCGGGUUGUAAAGGACUUUUGUCAGGAAAGAAAAAGGCGGGGU